AGAGGGAAACAACCCAGACCGCCAGCUAAGGUCCCAAAGUCAUGGUUAAGUGGGAAACGAUGUGGGAAGGCACAGACAGCCAGGAUGUUGGCUUAGAAGCAGCCAUCAUUUAAAGAAAGCGUAAUAGCUCACUGGUCGAGUCGGCCUGCGCGGAAGAUGUAACGGGGCUAAACCAUGCACCGAAGCUGCGGCAGCGACACUAUGUGUUGUUGGGUAGGGGAGCGUUCUGUAAGCCUGCGAAGGUGUGCUGUGAGGCAUGCUGGAGGUAUCAGAAGUGCGAAUGCUGACAUAAGUAACGAUAAAGCGGGUGAAAAGCCCGCUCGCCGGAAGACCAAGGGUUCCUGUCCAACGUUAAUCGGGGCAGGGUGAGUCGACCCCUAAGGCGAGGCCGAAAGGCGUAGUCGAUGGGAAACAGGUUAAUAUUCCUGUACUUGGUGUUACUGCGAAGGGGGGACGGAGAAGGCUAUGUUAGCCGGGCGACGGUUGUCCCGGUUUAAGCAUGUAGGCUGAUUGUCCAGGCAAAUCCGGAUAAUCAAGGCUGAGGUGUGAUGACGAGGCACUACGGUGCUGAAGUAACAAAUGCCCUGCUUCCAGGAAAAGCCUCUAAGCAUCAGGUAACAU
rnacentral:rRNA from 1 species